rnacentral:lncRNA from 1 species
GGGAGCUGCGCACACACCUGGGGCUGGGUAGUUCAAGCCAUUUCUGCAGGCUCCGGGGUGCUGGGGUGGUCCCCCCUUGUCAGAUACCUGGUCCUAGGGUGAUGGAGGGCAGGAGAAUAGUAUCACAGACUGCAGGAACCGGAUAAAAGGAUGAGGGUGGGGCAUGGACAGGAUUGGUUGGUUUGCAUGUCAUGGGCGCACUCAUCUGCAAGCCUAGUAUCCCUAGAAAUUAGCUAACCUCAGGGGGCCAUUCCUUCCCAGAUUCACAAGGCCCCGAGAUGUCAAAGCAUCAUAAAAUACAAAAGAUGUUAAUAAAUAACAUGAUUAGUACAGUACCUCAUUAACCAUCAGAGUGCUAAAUGAGGAUCACAGAAAUAAAAUAAUUAAAAAAGCUUUUAACUGCAUGUUUUCAGUUUAUACAUGGUUUUCAGAUAUAAUUUCUCUUUUAGUCUUCCUAGAAAAUCUCCAUAAUAAUAUCAUCAUCCCUGGAUACGGAAACGAAGGCUGAAAGAGAGAAGAGGACGUGGUUUCCUGAUAGCAGAGUUCAGGGUGGAAACUCCAGAUCCAGCUUUCUGCCUGUGACGAUUCUGGUGGAUGUGAGCCUUGGGUGCUGCCUCUGACACCUGCUGUGCACGGCAGCCAGAGACCGCGUCCAGAAUGCAGGCAGUUUGUCUCCCACAACGUGACAGGUGGUGCCGGCCUAAGCUAUGAUCCGCUAACAAAAUAGGGCUAUGAGCCCUCUGCCUUUCAGAGCAGGCGGGGAACAUUCCUGCAAUGCUAUGGGUUGGGUGUGUGAGUUUUUUCUUGAAGAACGUAAUUAGAAAGGGGGGUUCUAUGUGUCAUGUAUAAAAUACCGAUGGGCCAGCCACAGAGAACGCUGUAGGCUUUGACAGACAAGACAGGGUGUCUUUACCAGCAAAUGGACACCAUGCCACAUCAUCCUUAAUGAAAUACGUGCACUUUAGUGAGACAAAAAUGCAUCCGUAGCUCUGCCUGCCUCCUCACGAUCCUUCUCCAGCUAUAAGGACAUCAAAUAAACCAUUUAGACAGAGGGCCCUUUAAUGAGUUUCUCAGCGGCAGUGAAUCAAGUCAGAAAGGUAAUUCAACCCUCACUCCCAAGGUACAAGGGAAGGCAAGAAAAACUGUUUCUUUAGAUUCCAUUCUGUCCACAGAACCAUUCAUCAAUUUCCUUCGAGAGUCUGAAUCAAUCCCAGCAGGACCGCUUGCCAAAAAGAACGCUCUGUGGAGACACAAGCCCCAGCUUGUGUUUGCUCUCUGGGUCUCUUCCCUCCUCUUUCUUCCUCCGGGUGGCAGGAGGGCACCGUGGCAACACAGGAGGCAUGACCUACAACAGGCCCCCGAGCUCCUGGGGCCCCUGCAUGCCCUGUCGUAGGUUUCUGAGUACUCAUUCUCAUGGGCUGCUUGCCCAUUAGCUGAUGUCACUUAAAUAACUGCUUUGCCAGAGCUGGCUUGUGUAGGACUCAUCUGAGGUCCUUACCAACAGAAGGAAUAAGGAAUUCACAUGGAAAGUUGGCCUCACCCUGCUCUUCCCUCAUCAAUGGAAUAAUCUGAAAUGUGCAGAUUACCAAUGCUUCCAGAGGCACCGAACUCAAUGGUUUGGCUUGGCUUUGUGCUUCAGUCCACACAGAUGGCAGGAGCAACUUAGAGGUGGGAGAGAUACUUAGAGAGCAGCGACUCAAAUAUUUUCAUUUGAUUGCUUUAAAAAAAUGAGGCUUUGAGAGGUGAAGUAUUAACCUCUUGCCCACCAUUAUACCACUGCAGAGAAAAAUCAAUUCACCUGAAGUCAGGGCUCUGUCCAAAAGAGGACCCACAGUUUCUGAGUCCCUCACUGGUUUGAGCAUGUGUCUUUUACCACAUGGAGAUUUUUAGACAUUGUGUGCUUUGUAGGGUUUACUCAUUUUAAUUAAAAAAAAAAACAAAAAACCCUUUCAUGUUGUGCAGCUCAUCGUCGAAAUGCUAGGCAACACGCCGAAUGUUUUAUUACAAACCAGCAUUCCCUGCAGAAAAGUCUUAUUUUGAUUAAUCUUCAGCACUUACAGCUCCUUUCUGCCAAUCAAAGUUUCCAUCACGCACAGGGUGCUGUUGUAGAGACCAAGUUGACAUGUUGAGGCAGCCCAGAACAACUUUAGAGAGGAGAGGGAGGACUUUUCCUGUCUCUUUUGAUAAGGGAAAUAGUAUGUUUUAAAGACACCUUUGUGGAAUCCUUCUUCCCUUAGAGUAGAUUGAAAGACUCUCACUUUAAAAUAGCCACCCCAGUGGAGUAAAAAAGAUGCUGAGUUCUCGUUCUCAUGAAUAUACUGCUGAUUAGAAGAACAAGAUGUUGACAAACCCAGCCCAGAUAGGUCUAUAAAGCUUGAAAGAAUUUACUGAAUAGGCUGGGCGUGGGGGCUCAAGCCUGU